rnacentral:rRNA from 1 species
GAAUUGGAGGGCAAGUUUGGUGCCAGCAGCCGCGGUAAUACCGACUCCAAGAGUGUGUAUGAGAGAUGCUGCAGUUAAAAAGUCCGUAGUCAUAGAAGGGCAAAGAGAGAUGCGAGGUCUCACAGUGCGAUGAUGGAGGAGCCGAUGGGGAACAUAGUAUACCAGGGCGAGAGAUGAAAUGCCAAGACCCCUGGUGGACUGAGCGAGGCGAAGGCGAUGUUCUUGUAGGCAUUCGGUGAUCAAGGACGAAGGCUGGAGUAUCGAAAGUGAUUAGAUACCGCAGUAGUUCCAGCAGUAAAAGAUGCCGACAUGCUCAUUGGACACAGUGGGCAGGGAGAAAUCUUAGAGUUCGGGCUCUGGGGAUAGUAUGCUCGCAAGGGUGAAAAUUAAAGAAAUUGACGGAGCUACACCACAAGGAGUGGAUUGUGCGGCUUAAUUUGACUCAACGCGAGGAAACUUACCAGGGCCAAGUAUUGUGUAGAAACGAGCAAUACAGGAGUGGUGCAUGGUCGUUGGAAAUUGAUGGGAUGACUUUGACCUUAAAUGGUUGAAUGAGUGAGAUCUUUUGGACAUGUUCCGCACGGAACAGGAAGGAAAAGGCUAUAACAGAUCCGAGAUGCCCUCAGAUGCCCUGGGCUGCACGCGCAAUACAAUAGCAGGUAGAGAGAGAGACAGGAAGGUGCUCAGAUGGACUAUGUGCUGUAAGGCACAUACGAAAGAGGAAUUCCUAGUAAGUGUGUAUCAACAAUGG